ensembl:lncRNA LINC01515 long intergenic non-protein coding RNA 1515
GUGGAACCUGGAAUUCAAACGGCUGGGUAGGAAGCACGCUAGCAGGGGCCUCUGGCCUUGCUGAGGGUCCCUGUUUCCCCUUUUCCUUCCUUUUCACCCAACAAAACCCUGCUUUACUCACCCUUCAAACCAUCUAUGAGCCUAAAUUGUCGUGGUCGUGGAAUGGACAAGGACCCAGUCUUUAGCUGAACUAAGGGAAAGUCCUGCUUUUUGGCGCGCAACAGGGGAGCUCAAGAAACAGGCCUCACUCACGGCAUAUGGAACUAACCACGCCCCUAACUAAGAAGGCACACCUUAGUUGCAGUUAGCACACAAUUAAAGCAACUCUCCAAGUUUUACCUUAAAGUUCAAAAUUGCUAGGAGUUGAAACUACUAGAAAUAUAUUUACAUGCAAGAGUCAAAGAAACUUUGAACUAUUUAUGGCCUUUAAUAAUUAAGUAAGGUAUACUCCUGUGAUCAAGACUUGGAGCAUAUUUGUUUCUCUCUGCCUGGUUCCUCUAGAAAUUGGAAACUAUCAGAACAGAGACCAACUCCGUUUCCCGAUCCCUUUGCAAUCUGCAUUGAACCAUGAGUCAAGUUCUUGAUAAAGGAGUGAAAAUGGUAAGUCUAAAGCAAUGAAAAGCUGCUGUAUUGACUACACAUGCCUUCAUUUCUUCUACCCUGCUUCUUUCAUGCCUGCUUAUCUGAAUGACACCAGGAUGACAUUUAAGGCACAUCUGAAGAUGGGGAAACCACAGCACAGAAUAAGGCUGGGCCCUUGAAUCAAUAAAUGAAGGAGAACUACUCAAGAGAACAAAACCACCAGCAAUAUCCACCUGUAUUUGUCUUUUCAUAAUGUGUGACACAUGUGCUCAUGGAUUAUUGUCCGAAGCAAGACAUGUGACCAAGCCUAACAUCAACUGGGUGAAGAGCUAUAUGUUCCUUUCUCAAGAGGCACUACAAGUGACAUGCCACUGGGCAGGUAAGAUCCUCUCAAAUGAAGGGACUGUGAAUAUUUGACUAAUAAUACAAAUAUUUACUGGAUAUUUUACAGUGAUAUUUACAAAUAUCACUGGCUAACUUUUCCCAGCUUGAUAUCCUGAAAGAGGCACAGUUUCAGUAGUAAAUGGUAAAUUUACCUUGAUUGCACUGAAGGCUAUUUCUUUAAAACUAUUUUCUUUCCUUUUGACUAUUCCAUGUAUCCUUUCAGAAGUAAACAUUGUUUUUACCCCUUUAAAAAGUCUACUUAUACCAUCUACUUAAUUUGGAAUUUAUCUAACAUUGCCAGUUUGAUAUAGAUACAGAAAUUUAAUGAGAAAAUGCAGUUCUAUAUUUAGAAUAUGGAUUCUUCAAGAUGUUUCUGACACACAUUUGUUUUCAUUGAAACAUUAAACAAUUAUUUAGCUAACA